CUAAACUGAUCAAAGAGCCUGUCAUUUAUAGAAAGAGAAAACCCUACCCACGGCAAGAAGCCAAUUAACCCAUGCGAAGACGUUUAUGUGAAGAUAAUUUUUGUCUCUUAUUUGCAUAAAGCUCUCAGUUUUCUCUUUUCUCCAUAAAUUUGUUUAAGCUCUCAGGCUCUGACUCUUCUACUCUUCCUUGUUCGAAUCUCGGUAGCGGCCCUUUCUCGUUUGAAUCUUCUUGCCUGUAAUUGUAAACCCUCUUUUGUA
rnacentral:lncRNA from 1 species